UUUCCCAUAUUCUUAAUGAUGUGCAAAACGCCAUAGAAAGUCUAACAAUGAAUAUAUAAACAUUAAUCAGGCAUUUGAGAUUUCAAGGCACCCACAUUUGUAGUCAAUACCAUAUAUCUUUUAAUCCUCCUAGUGCCUGUUCACCAGGGAAACCAAUCUCCACUGCACAUGCUCACAAGAGCUUUUCUGAAAGCCAAAGCUGCAACAGUUCUAGCAAUGAUAAGAUAGCCUAAUUUCAAGCUAGAAAAAAUGACAGAAUUGAUAGUCAACUAUGAUUAUAUGGCUGCUGACAUAGAUAUGGCUUCAACUGAUGUUGGAAUGGACUAUAAGCAGCCUCUUUUACGUAAUAAACAUAGUAAUGAUAGAUCAACUAUCAAAACAGAGGAGGAGGUUAUGAAACUUUUUCAUGAUGCACAGAGGCCCAAAGUUGAAUCAAAGCAACCAAAAUCCAUCAAAAAUAUCCUAAUGGAUCUGAAAGAAGAGGGGUUCAAGGUUGGAUGUGUAUCGAGGCAAAAAUCUAUCAUAGAAGCAUUACCCAUAAUUCCCAAAUCCAGUGAUGUUCCUUCUGGUUUCAAGCCUAAUGCAGAGAAAGCAGCUGCUGGGACAGCAAAGGAAAACAAUGAUUCUGUGAAACGUGUAGCAGUAUCACAUCCUCUGGAGUUCUGCUUGACCCUUUUUUUUUUAUCUUCUUUUCUUUACAUCCAAACACAACUAAGGUUUUCUUAUUUGACCAACUCAGCCCUAUUAGUGCAGAAACAAAACGGAUUGGAAUGAUGUCGUCACGGGUCUCAACUGAACUAAAUAUGCAUGCCAAAUAAGUUAUACGAUCAACAGGAAGCAACAAUGAAUAGAGAUGGUAGAUGUAGAUAGUUCAGAGAUUAAAAAAAUAAACACCUUAUCUGCAGCACCGAGAAGGAAGUCGAAUCCAAGCUAGGGUUGAUCUAUUUUGGAAUGUGAAAACACGCUCGGAUAGUUGGUCACUCUUGCAUCUGUAUGAAAUGGCACAUGUUUAGUGGUGGGACUACUUCUAUAUGAGUAUAUUACUGAUGAC